GUAACACGUGGGUAACCUGCCCAUAAGACUGGGAUAACUCCGGGAAACCGGGGCUAAUACCGGAUAACAUUUUGAACCGCAUGGUUCGAAAUUGAAAGGCGGCUUCGGCUGUCACUUAUGGAUGGACCCGCGUCGCAUUAGCUAGUUGGUGAGGUAACGGCUCACCAAGGCAACGAUGCGUAGCCGACCUGAGAGGGUGAUCGGCCACACUGGGACUGAGACACGGCCCAGACUCCUACGGGAGGCAGCAGUAGGGAAUCUUCCGCAAUGGACGAAAGUCUGACGGAGCAACGCCGCGUGAGUGAUGAAGGCUUUCGGGUCGUAAAACUCUGUUGUUAGGGAAGAACAAGUGCUAGUUGAAUAAGCUGGCACCUUGACGGUACCUAACCAGAAAGCCACGGCUAACUACGUGCCAGCAGCCGCGGUAAUACGUAGGUGGCAAGCGUUAUCCGGAAUUAUUGGGCGUAAAGCGCGCGCAGGUGGUUUCUUAAGUCUGAUGUGAAAGCCCACGGCUCAACCGUGGAGGGUCAUUGGAAACUGGGAGACUUGAGUGCAGAAGAGGAAAGUGGAAUUCCAUGUGUAGCGGUGAAAUGCGUAGAGAUAUGGAGGAACACCAGUGGCGAAGGCGACUUUCUGGUCUGUAACUGACACUGAGGCGCGAAAGCGUGGGGAGCAAACAGGAUUAGAUACCUGGUAGUCCACGCCGUAAACGAUGAGUGCUAAG
rnacentral:rRNA from 1 species